GCCUGGGUGGCUCAGUCGGUUGAGCGUCUGGCUUCGGCUCAGGUCACGCUCUCGCGGUUCGCAGGUUGGAGCCCCGCAUCGGGCU
rnacentral:tRNA from 1 species